rnacentral:rRNA from 1 species
UACGGGGGGUGCGGGCGUUGUCCGGAAUCACUGGGCGUAAAGGGCGCGUAGGUGGCUUUGUAAGUUUGCGGUGAAAGCCCGGGGCUCAACCCCGGGUCUGCCGUGGAUACUGCAAGGCUUGAGUACUGUAGAGGCAGGUAGAAUAUCGGGUGUAGCGGUGGAAUGCGUAGAGAUCCGAUAGAAGACCGGUGGCGAAGGCGGCCUGCUGGGCAGUAACUGACGCUGAGGCGCGAAAGCGUGGGGAGCAAACAGG